GAUGAACGCUGGCGGCGUGCCUAGUACAUGCAAGUCGAGCGAACGGACGAGAAGCUUGCUUCUCUGAUGUUAGCGGCGGACGGGUGAGUAACACGUGGAUAACCUACCUAUAAGACUGGGAUAACUUCGGGAAACCGGAGCUAAUACCGGAUAAUAUUUUGAACCGCAUGGUUCAAAAGUGAAAGACGGUCUUGCUGUCACUUAUAGAUGGAUCCGCGCUGCAUUAGCUAGUUGGUAAGGUAACGGCUUACCAAGGCAACGAUGCAUAGCCGACCUGAGAGGGUGAUCGGCCACACUGGAACUGAGACACGGUCCAGGCUCCUACGGGAGGCAGCAGUAGGGAAUCUUCCGCAAUGGGCGAAAGCCUGACGGAGCAACGCCGCGUGAGUGAUGAAGGUCUUCGGAUCGUAAAACUCUGUUAUUAGGGAAGAACAUAUGUGUAAGUAACUGUGCACAUCUUGACGGUACCUAAUCAGAAAGCCACGGCUAACUACGUG
rnacentral:rRNA from 1 species